CGCAGCGUCGCCCGUCUCCAGAACGAUAGGUUAAGUCAUAUGUUAAAGUUAAGUUGUUUAUAUGUGCUAUUGAUUGUUUCUUGUCACUUGUUGUUAGCCUGCCCCGCUUAGGGGUAAACAGGCCUUUUGUUUUGCGGCAUAGUCGCGUAUUUGUAAAAUUUCGUUAAUAAACGAUAGCGGCCAGUGCACCCAAAGCAAUUCCUAACGGUGGUUCUGGGUGUACUGGAGUAUUGCUGAUUGAAAAAAAAAAAAAAAAAGUUAUAUAAAGUACCAACUAAAAGUAAUAUUUCAUAUUAUGGAAAAUUUUUACCACCA